GCCAUCUUAGGGAAUCCUUUCCCUUCCCUGCAGUCUCCAUUUUAUGUUCCUGACGCAGAAAAUGAAAAGGUCCUCCAUCCCCUUCCCGCAUCCCACACGAGGAGAUGCUCCUGGGCAAGAAAACACCACAAGCGCCUCUGUGCUUUCUGGAGACACUCAGCUCACUCCGAGCGACUUUUCCUUUAAAUACCCCGAGCUAAAGCUCCCUUUGUCUGUCAUCUUGCGCCUGCCUGGACUAAAAUAGUGCAAGAAGUCAAAUCUAAGUUGUCAGAACUAAAAAAGUCUCCUGCAGAAGAAUUGUCUGCUGAGAACUUGAAGAAAAGCUUGAACAGGACGAGGAGAUGGAUUUUGACUGUGCAGUGGAAUAUUCUGAACUUCAACACAGAUAAGAUAAGAGUGACAAAUCUGUGGGGGAAAAUUGACAAUAUCCUCUUGCUCUUAGGGAGCAAAACAUUUCAAAGAGGAUGUGAGCUAUGACAAAAGGAGGCCAUUUCCCCUUGUCCACCCUUCCCAUAGGAGGUGCAAAUGUCACCCCAGCACUGAGUAGAUUAGGCUGGGCUCAUCUUUGAGUGUCCUUGAGCUUCUCUGGGCAGCUGUGCCAGGGCCUCACUGCCCUCCCAGGGAAGAAUUUCUCCCCAGUAUCCCCUUCCAGCUGCCCUGCCAUGCCCAGGACAUCCUUAACUGGAGCAGAUUUCUCAGAGCCCCACUGCUCAGCUCUGCCAUGCUCCUCACUCCCCUUUAACAAGGAUUUAACCCCUUUUGUGUGGGUUUCCCCCUCCCACCCAUCACAGCAGCUGUUCCUCCUGUCCUGCAGGAGCUGCCACGGACAGGCAGGAAAUUCAAUCUGCCAAGCUGGGGAGGGGGGAGGCAGAGGAGAAGCAGCAGGGAGCAGCUGCUGGACAUGGGUGGGAUGCAGCUGUGUGUUUGGGGCAGCAGGAGCUCUGGGCUGGAUGCAAAGAGGGUCCAGGUGAAAAGAGGGAUGCUCUGGAGCUGGAUCCCCAAGGAUGGAGACUCGGGGCAGCACAAGGGGCAUUUCAGUGAGAGGAGAAGCCUUGAAAGCAGCAAGUUCAGGUUUGCCUGCAGAGCUCCACCUUCAUAUGAGGGACACCCCACAGCAGCCCCAUGGCUGUGCAAAGCCUGCUGAGCUCCAGAGAACCUUCUCCAUGCCCACAUUGUUUCUGCUCUUGGCCUGAGAUUUGGAUCAUUUGUCCUUGGUCCCCAGCUAGAGAAGGAAUUGCUUUGUCUCCCUGCUCUGUGCAGAGAGCUCACCAUCCCCUAAUGUGAAGCCCAGACCCACACACUAAAGCAGCAAAGAACCUGAAAAAUAUAAAAGCUAAACCUGAGGCAUCACCUGUGCUGUGGCCCCCAGGGCUGGAUGCUCCAGGUGGGUUCCAGGAAGAACCCACAAAAUGGGCUCUUUUGGCCCUACAAAAUGCAGCAAUUUGCACCCCAGCCCAAAGACUGUGCAUCCCUGCAGUGCUGCACUCCAUCUCCUCCUGCAUUUCCUGGGAAGCUCAGUGGGUGUCAGCCCCAGAACUCUUUUCCCUCUUCCCAAGCUGUGAUGCUGUGCCAGAAUCCUCCAUUGCAACCACACACAUUUCACAUUUAUUUCAAAUGUGGUUGAAAAGGGAGGAGGGGACAGGCCAUAAAUAUUCUUUCCCAGGGCUGUUGCCUGAGCCUGGGAAUACCCAAAGGAGUGGGGUAGCCCCUGUGGGGUUGGCUCUGUGGGACAGACCUGGGCAGCCCCAGGUGGCUCUUUCAUCACCCCAAAUGUGUCUGUACCCCUGGCUGAGAAAAUGCCCCCACAGCAGGCAAAGUGUUGGGGAGCAGAGAGGACCUGGCCUCGCUCCUGGCACUGCCCAUAUUUUCACAUUUCCACUUUCCUCCCUGGCUCAGUGCAUGCUCAGGGACAUGGGUGUAGAACAAACCCUGUCAUUUUGUGAUGAAGCAGCCAUUUCCUUCACAUUUUUCCUACAUUACCCACGAAAUUUGGAUGUUACUGAGUGUAAUUUUGGAAGCCUCCUGAGCCUGCAGCCACUCCAGGCACAGACCUGCAACAGUGACCCCUCUCAGCAGUUGUGGCUGCUCUGAAUUCAACCUUCUGCUUGGCCCUGGAGGUUAAUGUGGCUCUGCAUGUCCCCUGCUGUCCCCACGGCGUGGGCCUGCUCCCUGCUACCAGAUGCAUUCUUUGCUUCCAACAUAUGGCCUCAAUUACUGUCCUUUCCCUGGAUUUCCUGCCUGAAACUCAUCCCCUCCUCCUGGCAGCCUGAACUGCCUCCUCUCUCCUGCAGUGAGAUGCCUUGCAAGCUCUCACAUUCCUCCCUGCCUCCCUGCUGCUGCUCUGCUGCCUCUGACCAGGGGGUGCUGAUGCAGAGCAGGCACAGAGGAGGCUCAGACCCCCCAGGUGCUGUCACUGAGCCCAGGAGCCCCAAGGCCUGGCUGGUCACAGCCAAACUGCCCAGCCCAGUGUCCAGCAGGGCUUUGUCCAGAGCCCCCUCCUCCCUCAGCACCCAUCCCACACCCCCUGCAGUUUUCAGGGUUUUUUUUUUGUUUGAUUUGCAAGGCUCAGGCUUCUUUUUAUUUCCAUCCCUCCUGAAGCUGGGGGCUUUCCCAGCCUCUGCCCUUUGAAAGGAGCAUCAAACCACUCUGGGUUUCCCCUGGGCACUGCUUGGCCUCGUUCCUGGGCACUUACCCCUGCAGAAAAGCCAUGUGCCCGUGGCUUCUGCCUCUCAAAGCUUUGGAGGAGGGGAGAGGGCUCUGUCAGUGGCUCUUUGUGGGAAAUGGAUUUGUGAAAAACCCUCGAAACUUGGCAGAAGGCUCACACAGUAUGUAUCUGUAUGCAAACCUUGAGAUAAGAAAUGCUGACUUCGAAAUGCCAUGGAAUAGGACAGACAUGGUUUGAGAGAGAAAUGGAACUAGAAAUAAAUUUCAAAGGAUGGCCUUGUAAAAAAGACUAGAUACUUUGGAGAAAUAGAACUGUGAAAGAUAUUGUAGUGGGACCCAUGAGGAGGAAUUUUAGAUUAUUGGCUUUAAGGCAUCUACAGCAUGGUGUGACAAAAGCUGAUAGGCCAAGAAAUGCUUAUACUGUAUUGUAAAUAAGAAAUAAUUGGCUUCUGAUUGUGAUGGCGUGAAUUACAACAUCUGUAUUG